rnacentral:rRNA from 1 species
GGCUUGACUGACAGCACUUGGGAGAUGUAUAGUCCUCUUAUGAGGCUAGUAAUGUUUUACUUAGAUGUAUAUUAAUACAUGAGAUCCUAUACAAACAUAACACCAACUAUGUUGGAUAAAAUUCUAGAUAGAACACUGAUUGUGACAAUUUUCUAUCUACUUGUCUUGACCAAAUUACGUGCCAGCAGUCGCGGUAAUACGUAAAAGACUAGUGUUAUCCAUCUUUAAUAGGUUUAAAGGGUACCUAGACGGCAUUAUUAACCUUAAAUACGGAUAUAAUAUUAGCUAGAGUUUGAUAAGAGAAGGCGAGUAUUUACGGAGUAGAGAUGAAAUUCUUUGAUACCUUAAGGACUGGCAAUGGCGAAAGCGACCUUUUAUGUAAAAACUGACGUUGAGGGACGGAGGCUUGGAUAGCGAACAGGAUUAGAUACCCUAGUAGUCUUUGCAGAGAAUGAUGAAUGCCAUAGAUUAGAUAUUUUUAGUUUAUAAAUGAAAGUGUAAGCAUUCCACCUCAAGAGUAAUGUGGCAACGCAGGAACUGAAAUCAUUAGACCGUUUCUGAGAACAGUAGUGAAGUAUGUUAUUUAAUUCGGUGAUCCUCGAAAAACCUUACCACAGCUUGAAUGAUAUCAUUCCACUACGAAGUAGCUUGCUUCUAAGGCAUUUCCUUAACUAAUGUAAAAUUACAAGUAAUGUAUUAAAAGCAAGCCGCUACAAAAGUAGAAAAAAUAAAUGUAUAAAUACAUUUGUCAUUUACAGAAGAAAAUUGUACAUGGUAGAUCGUUUUUAUAUUUUUAUCAGGGGUGAUGUCACAUGCGUUGCACGGUUGUCUUCAGCUAAUGUCGUGAGAUUUUGGUUAGUUCCAUAAAAUUAGCGUAAACCCCGGCUUUAUUUUUAAAAUAUUAUCAUAAAGCAGUUCAUCACUAUAUUGAAUACAUGAUAACAGGAUCAAGACAAUCAUCUGCCCC